GACGAACGCUGGCGGCGUGCCUAAUACAUGCAAGUAGAACGCUGAAGGAGGAGCUUACUUCUCUGGAUGAGUUGCGAACGGGUGAGUAACGCGUAGGUAACCUGCCUGGUAGCGGGGGAUAACUAUUGGAAACGAUAGCUAAUACCGCAUAAGAGUAGAUGUUGCAUGACAUUUACUUAAAAGGUGCAAUUGCACCACUACCAGAUGGACCUGCGUUGUAUUAGCUAGUUGGUGGGGUAACGGCUUACCAAGGCGACGAUACAUAGCCGACCGGAGAGGGUGAGCGGCCACACUGGGACUGAGACACGGCCCAGACUCCUACGGGAGGCAGCAGUAGGGAAUCUUCGGCAAUGGACGGAAGUCUGACCGAGCAACGCCGCGUGAGUGAAGAAGGUUUUCGGAUCGUAAAGCUCUGUUGUAAGAGAAGAACGAGUGUGAGAGUGGAAAGUUCACACUGUGACGGUAUCUUACCAGAAAGGGACGGCUAACUACGUGCCAGCAGCCGCAGUAA
rnacentral:rRNA from 1 species